rnacentral:rRNA from 1 species
UCUGCAACUCGACUCCAUGAAGCUGGAUUCGCUAGUAAUCGCGCAUCAGCCACGGCGCGGUGAAUACGUUCCCGGGCCUUGUACACACCGCCCGUCAAGCCAUGGAAGCCGGGAGUGCCUGAAGUGCGUGACCGCAAGGAACGCCCUAGGGUAAAACCGGUGACUGGGGCUAAGUCGUAACAAGGUACC